UACGAAGGGGCUAGCGUUGUUCGGAAUCACUGGGCGUAAGGCGCGUAGGCGGCCGAUCAAGUCGGGGUGAAAGCCUGUGGCUUAACCACAGAAUGGCCUUCGAUACUGUUUGGCUUGAGACCGGAAGAGGUUAGUGGAACUGCGAGUGUAGAGGUGAAAUUCGUAGAUAUUCGCAAGAACACCAGUGGCGAAGGCGGCUAACUGGUCCGGUUCGUGACGCUGAGGCGCGAAAGCGUGGGAGCAACAGG
rnacentral:rRNA from 1 species